rnacentral:lncRNA from 1 species
UUUCUGAUUUUUCUGGCUUUAGAAACUCCCUGCCUUGGGAAUCAUUGCUGGCCAUGGCAGUUGCUGAGACUGGGAGCUAAAAGGUGCAUCUGAAUUUGAGUCCUGUAAUGUUCCUUCAGGUUUGUGUUGGACCGAGCUGCCUACCAUAUGGAUGCAUACUGCCCACACAUGUAGUUGGCACUCUGGAUGGUUUGAUUCCACGUCAGCUUGGCUGUUGGUGGGAAGUGGAUGAGUGGUCCAUGAUAUGACUUGCAGAUGUCGAGAUGGAACCUCACCAGGGCUUCCUUCUGAAAUGAAACUUCCAGAAAGCAGCAGACAGACCACAGAACAUCCUUCCUAGAAAAAGAAAAGCCGUCUAUAGACCAGCAACAGCUCUGAUCACAUGACUGCAAGCAAGGUUUCCAAAGAAAUCAAAAUGAUAGCUUAAAGAAUGCACA